GAUGAACGCUGGCGGCGUGCCUAAUACAUGCAAGUCGAGCGAACGGACGAGAAGCUUGCUUCUCUGAUGUUAGCGGCGGACGGGUGAGUAACACGUGGAUAACCUACCUAUAAGACUGGGAUCACUUCGGGAAACCGGAUCUUAUACCGGAUGAUAUUUUGCACCGCAUGGUUCAAAAGUGAAAGACGGUCUUGCUGUCACUUAUAGAUGGAUCCGCGCUGCAUUAGCUAGUUGGUAAGGUAACGGCUUACCAAGGCAACGAUGCAUAGCCGACCUGAGAGGGUGAUCGGCCACACUGGAGCUGAGACACGGUCCAGACUCCUACGGGAGGCAGCAGUAGGGAAUCUUCCGCAAUGGGCGAAGGCCUGACGGAGCAACGCCGCGUGAGUGAUGAAGGUCUUCGGAUCGUAAAACUCUGUUAUUAGGGAAGAACAUAUGUGUAAGUAACUGUGCACAUCUUGACGGUACCUAAUCAGAAAGCCACGGCUAACUACGUG
rnacentral:rRNA from 1 species